CUCUCUCUCUCAAGAUACACAUUUAAAAAAACAAAAACAAAAGCAUCACUUCUGACUUCCUUCGUCGGUCAGUGCCGUGAUGCUGGCUGACCCUGGCUACAACCCUCCCAGGGCCUCAUAAAAUGUGCUUCCUGCAAACACCGCUGAGUCCUGAAUUAAGUGUGAACAGAAGACUCACUGAGCCCUGGAACCAGCUGCUGAAUGUCGCUGACCUUUGGGUUCUCAGCUACUCAGUGAGCUUGCUGAAGCAGACGUCUCUAAAAACUCGCCCGGCUCUGGAGUUCCAGGCUGCUAUUGUGGUCCAGUCUCCCCAGCUCCUCCUCCUUCCCCCAGGAUCCUCGCCUCCCAGUAUCUAUGCCCUGUGUGUGCUCUGCCUGCACUGGAUUUGGGCCUUCUGUGUGACCAACAGAGUAGGGGAGGGCCGUGUGUGACUUCGGAAGCUAAGUCAUAAAGGGCAUGGUGGCUUCUGUUGUGGUCUCUUGGCUUGCCCGCUCUGGAGGACACCAGCCACCAUGUUGUGAGGACACUCAAGCAGCCCCGGGAGAGGGCCUCAUGGGGAGUGACUGUGGCCUCCUGCCAGCAGCCGAGCGAGGGAGAUGAGUCAGAAUUGGAUCCUCCUGCUCCAGUCAGACCUUCGGUUGACCGCAGCCCCGGCCAACAUCGGGCCUCAACUUCACGAGAGACCCGAGCCAGCUCCACCCGGCCAAGCUGCUCCGAGUCCUGACCCACAGAAGCUCCAAGAGAUGAUCGCUGCUCACGGACGUUUGGGGCGCUUUGUUACGCAGCAUAGAUGACCAGUGGGCUGAUACUGAACCAGCUUCUAGCUUCUCUGGAAAAGCAGGAAGGAAUCAUAAUCCAGUGUUGUUCACGGGAGAAAGGAAAGUGGAGGAAUUUAUCUGCCUCGCUCCCACCUUCUAUCUCCUAGUAUUUGCCCCAUGGGGAGCUAGCUCCCUGAUUUAUCCAGGCCUUGGUAACCGUCCAGGAAGCCAGACCCCACACCCCGCAGUGAGGAAUUUCAUCCAAGUCCAAAAGUGGAAAGCAUCCAGGAACGAGUGGGGCACCAGCCAAGAAAGGAAACAAAGUCACUGAGCAACCUGAGAAGAUAUACAAGAUGCGUGUCCCAUAUCAUCACCUUCUUGGCCCCUUGUCUAAUUCCUCAGAUACUAACUCGCUAGCACAGCCCUAGGAAGGCCUGGAUUCUUCUUUUGACUGCAUCAGUUCCUCAAAUGUUUAAUGUAGGUGAAGAUGUGAUGAGACUGAAUAUUACUGUCAGCUGUCCCUCUUGGGCUUCAAGACAGAUGGACACACUCAAACCCUGGCCUGCAAAAUACAAAGCUUCCUCUUCAGCUUGCUGGAAGGACAUCUUAACUCUCGGUAAAGGGUCGCUAAAACAGCAACUAACGUUCACCCACCAGCUUAGAAAAGGAAAUGAGGUGUUCACUCCCAAGAGUUCACCAAGCUUCUUUUUAGUGGCAACCCUUGGAGAGUGGCUGCAAGCGGCAGACAGAGGCCCCGCGAGUCCCUCCGGAUCCCAGUGUGCUGAGAGGCCGAGGCCAGCUCCCAUUAGCAGAUGAGAAUGGGCGAUUGGUGGAUGGACAGACGGACGGGUGGAUAUGCAGACGGAUGGAGGGGGAAUGGGUGGGUAACUUAACGGACGAGACAACUGUUGGGUUUCAUGGAUGUCUAAGAAGCAUUGUCUACACACCCAACAGCCUUAAACGCCCCCUCUCCAGCAGGCACUCAAGGAAAUCAUUGCUCUGGGUUUCACUGUCUGGAAUCCGCCUCUCCAACAAGCAUUUUCCUUGUCCCCAUCGCAGCCACCGCCUCCAGUCCCCCACCCUUCUGGCUUGUUAUCAGCUCCGUGCCGUCUCUUUGCAUUAAAGUGACAAGCAGUCGCGCAAAGCUGACGACAGGAGGCUGGGGCUGUAAUUCGCACUGACAUUCACUGGUGCGAUCCACUUACUGCCUGGUAAGCCAAACAGGAGAUUUGUCUGAUUUUGAUCCCGGGAAGAGAAGUGACGGCGUCGCUCUCCUCCUGCCACUCAAAUCGAGGCACCAGGCUGGUCCUCGGGCCUGGGGCCGGGCUGACGACGCCCACCUGCACAACGUGGCUCUUCGGGAUCCCCUGCCCUUCCUGGGGCUGGAAUUCCCUUUCAGACCUGACAUGUGGUGAACACGGGAAGGGACGAGGGCCGUGGUUGGGGGCGGGUGGAUCCCGUGUAUUCUCUCAGAGGGGGGCAGUGCAGUUCACAGGCUGCCAGGGGCCUCCAAGGCCUCUCCGGGGGAAUUAAGGGCCGCUGGGAUGUCAGACCCCAGCUGACAGUACCUCAGCAGCCCUCUUUCUGCCUCCCCACCCCCUGUCUUUAACGUGUCCCCGCCGCGAGAGAAAUGCCACGGAAUGAGAGGCUCACAGGCAGCCACAGCAAGGAGUCAGCUUGUGGGCACUGCCUGCUACAUCAUCUACAAGGCCCCGUGUGACAUUUUUCAGACACAAAACUUGACGCCCUGGGAGGUUAAGUGACUUGCCCAUGAAAAUGUGGAACCCCCUGUUCAAAAAAAGCAGGAAAACUAUCAUUAAAGGGACUAAGAUAGAAGGCUUUUACCUUUCUUCUGUGGCCUCUGAGUUGUCGUGAUGUUUUUUAUUCGCCAUAUAAUGCUGUUCUAAGCAAAAAAACCCAAAACACAAAAAAACUAAGUAAGUGAAUAGAUGGGUGAAUGAAUAAAUAAAUGAAUAAAAUAUUGAUUAUUAGCAUGGAUUUAACCAUUCAUCUUUCUAAAAUUUUUUUUUCUUAAUGUUUUUAUUUAUUUUUGGGACAGAGAGAGACAGAGCAUGAACGCGGGAGGGGCAGAGAGAGAG